rnacentral:misc_RNA from 1 species
AUGAAUGAGGCCUUUGGCUUCGAUCCCACGCGCCCUCGCUGUGCGCCACUUGUGGCAGCACGCUUGGAACACGUGAUUCUCACACCUGUGCACCUUUGGAAACGGGGAUUCAUUUCCCCGUGUCUUUCCUAUACACAACUUUGUAACGAAAGUCUCUUUAUUUCUUUAACGAAAAUA